rnacentral:snRNA from 1 species
GGAUGUGAGGGUGAUCUGGCUGCGAUAUCUGUCACCCCAUUUAUUGCCAGGGUUGAUUUGGCUGAUCUGGCUGGUUAGGCAGGUGUCCCCUUCUUCCCUCACCACUCCAUGUGUGUCCCUCCCGAAGCUGCACGCUUGGUGGAAGAGGACAAUGUCCCAGGUAUAGAAGGAGUGUACCGAGAUCUCCAGUCUUCGGUCCCGGGUAUACGAUAGCGCCCCCCUGCUAGAACCUCCGAAUAAGCUUGUUGUUGUGCCUUUUGUGGGUAGUCAGCCUCUCCCCUCCUGACAUCCCUGUUGCCUCAG